UCUCUCUCUCUCUCUCUCUUUCUCUCUCUCUCUCUCUCUCUCUCUCUCUCUCUCUCUCUGUGGGGGCGAUCAGGACACAAAAGCUGGCGUCAGGACGGUGUUUGCGCUUCUCUCUGGAUGUGAUCUGUCUUCCAGAAAUAGUUCACUCAGUGUUUGUGAAGGGUUUGAGUCAUCAAUCCCAUGAUGCCCUGCAGAUGGAAGGUGUGUGUCUCCAUGCUCUCGGCCUCACACUCCUCUGAAUGGCCACACACACGACUCCCCCGGCUGGAGCCGCCAGCUCCGCGUCAGAGAUGGAGACCAGUUCUACCUGCUGGACCAAGAGGAGGUCCAUCCAGUGCUGAUGAAUGAUCACCGUCCCGUCUCUCACCGACACAAACUACUGCGCAGGACCGUCAGCGUACCUGCAGACAGCAGACCACACCCUGAGUCAGAGCACGCUCGUGCUCGCAGGAAGAGCUUUGCCUUGUCGCGGCACAGAAGCAUGGAAGCUCCGCCCACUGCCCCUACACAGCCAUUCAGACAAGCAGUGAGUACCCUGCACCCUGCACCCUUCAGAGACGGCACACGCUCCUUCUCAUUGUGCUGCAUCCAUUUAUCAUCUCUGACACUUCAUUUGCAUGUCUAAUCCAGGUUAGUUUAAAAACCGUGUUAGUUUUGACACUGCACAUGUUAUUGCUGCU